ensembl:snRNA U6 U6 spliceosomal RNA
GUGCUCCCUUUGGCAGCAUAUAUACUAAAAUUGGAAUGAUACAGAGAAAAUUAGCCUGGCCUCUGAGCAAGAAUGACACACAAAUUCAUGAAACAUUCCAUAUAUAA